UUCACUUACGACUUUACUGCGUGUGAAAGAUAAAUCCUCUAUUAAAUUAAUUUUUAAUCCUCUGAUUUCUUCUUCGAAUUUUUUUGUAACUUCAUUGGUUUUUGCUUUCUCUACCCUCAAACGGAACAGAGCAUCGGCACAUUUAUUUUGAUUACCUGGUCUAUAUAUUAUCUCAUAAUCAUAAUUUAAUAGUUUCGUCGCCCACCGUAUUAAACGGUUAUUUGUUAUUUUGUUAAGAUCUCUUUUAUCACUUAAAAUAUAUUGUAAUGGUUUAUGAUCAGUAACCAAGAUAAAAUGUCUUCCAAAAAUAUAUUGAUAAAACUUCUCGAUAGCGAACAUGAUCGCCGAAGUCUCCCGGUCAAUUGUGGCAUAAUUCUUUUCAGCCUCCGAAAGUGUCCUCGAUGCGUAAGCAAUCGGUUUCUCCUGGCCAGUAAGAAAUCGGUGUGCAAUAACAGCUCCUAGACCAUCUUCGGAAGCGUCACAAGAAAUCACGACAGGGAUAUCGGCUGAAUAAGGAAUUAUUGUAUCUUCUUUUGACAAUAUAUUUUUAACUUUAGUAAAUAUUUCAUUUUCUUUAGCUGACCAAAACCAACCAACAUUUUUACUCGUUAGUCAGUGUAAAUGCGCACAAAUAGAAUGCAAAUUUUUAAUAAAUGCCUCAUGAUAAUUUACUAUUCCAAGAAAUGAACGUAGUUCUUUAACAUUGGAAGGUGUUUUAAAAUUUUUUAUAGCGCUAAUCUUAUCUUCUGUAGGGUGAAUUCCGAAACUGUCAAUAACAUGACCUUUUUCUCCGAGUUUAAUUUGGUCGUCGUGGUCAGUCCAGCCUUCUCAAAUCUUCUUAAUACUUCUUCCAAAUUAACUAUGUGAUCGGAAUUAUUCUCACCUGCAAUAAUUAUGUCGUCUAAAAAUACACUAACCAUAGGAAUUCCCUUUAAUAGGUUUUUCAUAAAGCGUUGGAAUAUUAUCGGAGCGCUAGUCAAACCAAAUGGAAUUCUUUGGUAUCGGUAAUAACCGACAUGUGUCGAAAUUACUAAAAGGUCCCUACAUUCUGGACUAACUCCGAAUUGUAAAAAUGCAUCUCUUAAAUCUAUUGUUGAAAAUAUUUUACCACCCGCGAUUUUAUUUGUUAGGUCGACGAAAGUUGGUAGUAAAUCGUUAUCGAUCGUUAGAUAUUUGUUGAAUGUUAAACGAAAAUCUCCGCAUAUCCAUACGGCACCGGAUUUCUUUAAGAUAUUAACCGUUGGCGUAGCCCAAGUGAUUGGAGUUCUUGUUGGAUCCACCUUCUCGAUAACGCCUUCGUCUAAAAGUCUGUCCAACUCAGCUUCAAUGGUUCGACGCAACGGAAAAGGAACUCUUCUUGCUGGUAAUGCAAUCGGUAACGUGUUCGGUUCUAUUCGGAUGACUGCCUUUUGCACAUGACGUCACGAUGACACUACGUAGCGAUGACAUGACGUCACGAUGACCCUACGUCACGAUGACCCUACGUCACGAUGACCCUACGUCACGAUGACACUACGUAGUGAUGACAUGACGUAACAACAUCGUAAAAUUAUAAUAUAGAUCUUAAGAUAAAAUGAUCAUGACUGACCAAUGAUGCAAUGGAUAAAUCAAGCUACACACAUCCUGUCAAAUUAAAUGAUAAUCAACAGCACAAUGACAACUAUUACGUAUGGUUAAGAAAAAAAUGGGUAGCUACGGCUCAAUGAAAAUUAUGUAUGGUCAAGAAAAAAUAUGUAACUUCCUGAAACAGAAAGAAGAAAAUUUAAUAAAAAUAAAUAAUAA